GCAGACAGAGGGCGAGCAACCAGGAGAGAGAGACAGGAGGAGAGGACGGCAGACAGAGGGAAACAGAGGUAUGGGCAGGAGCUGGAGUGGGACCAUCACAUUUUGCUUCUUUUUAUGCUGAUUUUUGCUUCAUUUUGUGUCACAUCGUGACUGUUUUACAUUAUUUGUGAGUAUGAUUGGUUGAUUUUUCUCAUUUUGUUGUCUCAGAUUGUGAAGUCAAAAGGGAGAGCGUCCCCAAACACACCAACUGGUGGAUGUAAAACACACUCCAGGCCUGAAGGGGCAACAUAAGCACAGGAGUGGAACUAAAAAAUGACAACCAGUGCUUCCACAGGGACACAAUUUACCUGGGCGCCGUCUCAUCCAGCAGGCCUUAAAAUGUUUGGUGAUCAGUCAGUCUUCCUUUGAUCCUGGUCGUCAUAUGAAGUAAGACACAGCUGCUGUUUGGACCGUGAGGACGCAUCUGGUAGGACUAAUUAAGAGAACUUGAAAUGUUUGUUUUGUAUAAACAAAUUGAGGUUUAAUUUAAUGAAUUUGGUUCACACAAGAUUAAGUUGAAAGUCAAUUCAAAUUUAUUUAGUAAAUGUGUAAAUUAAAUUUCUUUGAUUUUAAAGAACACAUGAUGUUUGAAAAUACUGUCUUUUUUCCAAUUCAUAUUGAAGGUUAUCAACCUGUCAACUUUCAUUCCACCUUUAAACCAAAAGCAGCAAAAAAACAAAGAAACAAGACAGAGUUGUCCCUUUGUGAGCCGCAUGGUCAAACAGGCUUUUUACAAGUUUGAGCAAAGCUGUGUCGAAACACAUACAGAACUUGCCACAGAUUAAGAAUUUAGUGAGUUUCCUGGUGAUUUCGCAUCUUUCUAUGCUGAUUUUUGAUUCAUUUUUUUUGUCACAUCUUGACUGUUUUACAUUAUUUGAGAGUAUGAUUGGUUGAUCAUUUGUUUUGUCAUUUUGUUGUCUGUGAGGAUUUCUUCAGUUUCCUGGUCAUUUUGCUGCAUUUUUUAAAAAUAACAUCUUGAGUGUUGCAUUAUUUGUGUGUGACUGAGUUUUGUCAUUUUGUUGUCUCAGAUUGAGGAUUUAGUGAGUUUCCUGGCGAUUUCGCAUCUUUAUGCUGAUUUUUGCUUCAUUUUGUGUUGCAUCGUUGACUGUUGCAUUAUUUGAGUAUGAUUGGUUGAGUUUUGUCAUUUUGUUUCUCAGGAUUUUGUGAGUUUCCUGGUGAUUUUUGCAUUUUUUUUAUGCUGAUUGUUGCUUCAUUUUGUCACAUCUUGACUGUUUUGUAUUGCCUGAUUUUAUCAUUUUGUUGUCUCAGAUUGAGGAUUUAGUGAGUUUCCUGGUCACAUGACUAGGACGAUGUAUACAUUUUAUUUUAAUAGGAUCUUUGUAUAUCUUAAUAUAGUCCCAUUAUAAACCUGGUUUACAUCCUCCCCUCCUUAAACCAGGCACGUCCCGUUGCAUUUUAAACGUAAACAUGAAUAGACUGCACAAUAGAUUCGGGAGAGGUGGAAACACUUAGGAUAUCGGACACAUUUUGGAGCAAUGUCUGAACUACAGAUAUAAGCGGGUUACCAGGGGUGUUGUAAUCUAGUCGUUUAGGUGGCGCUCUCUGACAAAUUGAGCGUCUAAGCAUAAAACCACUGUUAACUACAUCCCCAGCAGUGGCAACUGGUGAGUUAAUAGUCAGGCUCAGACUGAACUGGAUCUUCAGGCAAGUUUUAAUCCAUCGAAACUACGGUAGGUAUGUUUACGGGCUCAGGUGAGUUUACAGGUAAGUUGUCUGCGUUUGAUUCAUUUCCUUGAUCCUCUUCUCUUUCCUCCACACUUGACUCCGACUCAUUGUUGCUCGUCUCCGGCUCAAGUUUGUCAAGAGGGACAGAACUGAUGGAACAGGGAGUUGGAGAACGGAUUUCGUCAGGUUCACUUCUGACAGACAGCUGGAACUGGACGCGUUUUCUCCACAGUGAAGCAGAUAGCAGGUAAGUCAAGACUUAGGGGGACCAUGUCCUCAGACUCUUCAGCAGCAGGUGAGUCGAUGUGGACAUCGGGAUCAGGAUUAAGACGAGUGCGUGGUCGAGUUACAGGAGACUAUCCACAGGGAACAUCACUAUUCUCAUUGGCCGGAAGAAAGCCGCAUGGAAGGAGGAGGUCUCUAUGGAGAGAGUGCGUACAGGUCCAUCUUUGCACUCAGGCUUUACUUUGUAAACUGGGAGAUCUCCAGCUCUGCUGAUCACAACAAAGACAUCUCUCACAUUUAUCUGAGUUUGUUUUCCUCUGAGGUGUACGUUCCUCCCAAGCACUCUGUCUCCCACUUCCGAUGCUGAUGGUAUGAUUCGCUGGUCGAAGCGUGUUUUAAUUCGUUCAGCACAUUUGAGGGUGUUCUUUUAAGCAAUCUUGAAGCUCUCUUCAAGGCAUGACUUUAAGUCUUGCACAUACUGUGAAUAGAUUUUGUGCUUGUUUUCCUGCAGUGGGAGACCAAAAGCAAGGUCAACAGGCAGACGAGGCCAUCGUCCAAACAUUAGCUCAUACGGGGCAUAACCGGUAACCUCGUUCUUGGUGCAAUUAUAUGCAUGAACUAAUGGCUUCACAUAGUCUUUCCAUUUUGAUUUCUGUUUUUCCUCCAGUGUUCCAAACAUGCUAAAGAGUGUAUGAUUAAAUUGUUCCACUGGAUUGCCUCUUGGGUGGUAUGGUGUCGUACGGCUCUUUUGAAUACCUGCCACCUCACACAGCUGUUUAAUUAGCCUUGACUCAAAAUCCGGCCCCUGGUCAGUAUGGAUUCUCUCAGGGAUGCUGUAGUAAAUGACAAAAUUGUCCCAUAAACACUUUUCCACAGUUCUUUCUUUUUUGUUUGGCGUUGGAAUGGCCACUGCAAACUUGGUAGAGUGAUCUGUUAGAACAAGUGUCUCUGGUGUUGAGUCAGGCUUGAGGCUCAGGAAAUUGAUACACAGCAGUUCGCGAGAACACGAAGGGAUGACGUUAACCAGUGGAGCAGAUUUAUUGGGCAAUGCCUUCCUCCGGACACAACGACCACAAGUCUCGAUUUUGUGUUCUAAAUCCAUGGCCAUUUUGGGCCAGAAAAAGUCCCAAUUUAAACCUGGGUUAGACACAUCUUGACUGUUUUACAUUAUUUGUGAGUAUGAUUGGUUGUCUUUUGUCAUUUUGUUGUCUCAGAUUGAGGAUUUAGUUUGCUGGUGAUUUUUGCAUCUGUUUAUGCUGAUUGUUGCUCCAUUUUGUGUUGCAUCUUGACUGUUUCACAUUAUUUUCAAAUGAUUGGUUGACUUUUGUUUUCUGAGUAUUUAGUGAGUUUCCUGGUCAGUUUGCUUCAUUUUGUGUCGCAUCUUGACUGUUUUACAGUAUUUGUCAGUGUUAUUGCUUUUUGUCAUUCUCUCUCAGAUUGAGGAUUUGGUGAGUUUCCUGGUCAUUUUGUUGCAUCUUGACUGUUUCACAUUUGAGUAUGAUUAGUUGAUUCUGUCUUGCAGUGUGCAAUUGUAUUUUUCUUUGAAAUACUAUGGCUUUUAUUUUUUUUUGGACAAUUCAUAAUCUUUUUCAAUUCAUCUUUUUUCAAAGUAACCUGCUCUAGUGUUUUUCACGGUGUACUUCACAUUAUCAUAUGGCGUGUCUUCAUGGCAUGUUGGGGAAAAAUGGCCUUAUUUCAACAUACUAAGGUGUUAAUUUUGGACAAAAUUUAUGAUUUGUUUCAAAGGAAACUGCUCUAUGGUGUUUUAACAGCCUACUUUAAAUCAUUUCAUUUUGCAAUGUGUGUGUUUGUAUCCUUGUUCUACAUACUGUUCUAUGGCGUUGAGUUUGGACAAUAUUCAUGAUUUUUUUUUUUUUUAACCAAAGAAAACUGCCCUAUAGUGUUUUUCACAGCCUACUUUACAUUAGUUCAUCUUGCAGUGUGCGUUUGUAUUUUUGUUUGACAUACUAUACUAUGGCAUUUAUUUUGGACAAAAUUCAUGAUCCUUUUUUUUUUUCUUUUCAAAGAAAACUGCUCUAUCGUGUUUGUCACAGCCUACUUUACAUUAGUUCAUCUUGCAGUAUGUGUUUAUCUGGCAGUGUGUUUGUAAUUUCCAGUGUGCGAUUAUGUGUUGCAGUGUGUUUAUACUUUUGUUCGGUAUAAUACACUAUGGUGUAUAUUUUGUCCAAAAUUCCUGAUCAUUAUUUUUUUCAAAGAAACCUGUUCUAUAGUGUUUUUGUCAGGCUAGCUGCUGCCAGGCCUAGAUGGUGCCUCUCUCUCAGGGUGGCUCAGCAGUGCAGAAGCGACAACAGGUGUGACUUAUCAGCAAUCCUCAGCUGGAACUAGGAGCAGGUGGAGCUCAUCUAAUCAAGCACACCCUGCCUCAGUCUUACCAGACGCCUCACAACUCAAGCGCCAGCUCGUGACACAUCAGUUUUGGUUCCACCUGCUCCUAGUAGAGUCCUCUACGCCCGAUUCUGGUCUCCACUUUGGUAAAAAGGGAAAUCUCUCCAGGCCAUCGUAAGUAAAGUUUAUUUAUAUAGCACUUUUCACAGAUAUAAAAAUCACAAAGUUCUUUACAUUCAAAGAAAAGGAAAAUGAGACGUUAAAAUAAGCCUCCAUGAUGUAAAAUCACACAUGUAAAGACACACACCCUUGGGCGUCUCCUCAAUUCACCUAUUGUCUGUCGUCCCCCCCCCCACCACCACCACCUGGCCCUGCACUCUGGCUUCCUCCACUGUGAAUCAUCCUGAGCAUCACUGAGAAUUUGUGAGUUGGUUAGUUUGGCUGUAGUCUCUGCUCUUGUACAGAGCAUCGUUCAGAGUAUUCUUUAUUUGUAGUAUUCACUCGAACCUUGUGGUUAUAGUAAAUUGGUUUGUUUUAUAGCAGUUAAGUGUCCCCUACCGUGAAUAGGAAUUAUUUGGUGUCAUUUCUUUGUUGUUGUAGUUUCCAGCCACUAGUAGUCUGAGUGUUUGGAGCCCAUUGUCUCCAGUUCAGUUUCCUGUGUAGUUGCCAUCUUGGUUUGUAGUUUCCUGGAACAGCUGUAAAAAAGCAAAUUGUGUUGCAUUCAAAGACCGUCGGUUAUUUCCUGAGCCAACCCAACAUCGUAACUUUUUCACGGUCUACUAUACAUUAUUUCAUCAUAUGGCAUGUUGGGAAAAAUGGCGUUUUGACAUACUAUGGUGUUAAUGUUGGACAAAAUUCAUGUUUUUUUUUUUUUUGUU